rnacentral:rRNA from 1 species
AUUGAACGCUGGCGGCAGGCCUAACACAUGCAAGUCGAACGAGUGGCGGACGGGUGAGUAAUGUCUGGGAAAUUGCCCGACGGAGGGGGAUAACUACUGGAAACGGUAGCUAAUACCGCAUACCAUCGGAUGUGCCUCGAUGGGAUUAGCUAGUAGGUGGGGUAACGGCUCACCAGGGCCACGAUCCCUAGCUGGUCUGAGAGGAUGACCAGCCACACUGUAACUGAGACACGGUCCAGAAUCCUACGGGAGGCAGCAGGGGGGAAUAUUGCACAAUGGGCGCAAGCCUGAUGCAGCCAUGCCGCGUGUAUGAAGAAGGCCUUCGGGUUGUAAAGUACUUUCAGCGAGGAGGCGUUACUCGCAGAAGAAGCACCGGCUAACUCCGUGCCAGCAGCCGCGGUAAUUC